rnacentral:rRNA from 1 species
ACGAACGCUGGCGGCGUGCUUCACCCAUGCAAGUCGCACGGAAAGGCCCUGCUUUUGUGGGGUGCUAGAGUGGCGAACGGGUGAGUAACACGUGAGUAACCUGCCCUUGACUUUGGGAUAACUUCAGGAAACUGGGGCUAAUACCGGAUAGGAGCUCCUGCUGCAUGGUGGGGGUUGGAAAGUUUCGGCGGUUGGGGAUGGACUCGCGGCUUAUCAGCUUGUUGGUGGGGUAGUGGCUUACCAAGGCUUUGACGGGUAGCCGGCCUGAGAGGGUGACCGGCCACAUUGGGACUGAGAUACGGCCCAGACUCCUACGGGAGGCAGCAGUGGGGAAUAUUGCACAAUGGGCGGAAGCCUGAUGCAGCAACGCCGCGUGCGGGAUGACGGCCUUCGGGUUGUAAACCGCUUUCGCCUGUGACGAAGCGUGAGUGACGGUAAUGGGUAAAGAAGCACCGGCUAACUACGUG